AUUGAACGCUGGCGGCAUGCUUUACACAUGCAAGUCGAACGGUAACAGGGAGCUUGCUCCGCUGACGAGUGGCGAACGGGUGAGUAAUGCGUCGGAACGUGCCGAGUAGUGGGGGAUAACGCAUCGAAAGGUGUGCUAAUACCGCAUACGUACUGAGGUAGAAAGUGGGGGACCUUCGGGCCUCACGCUAUUCGAGCGGCCGACGUCUGAUUAGCUAGUUGGUGAGGUAAAGGCUCACCAAGGCGACGAUCAGUAGCGGGUCUGAGAGGAUGAUCCGCCACACUGGGACUGGGACACGGCCCAGACUCCUACGGGAGGCAGCAGUGGGGAACUUUGGACAAUGGGCGCAAGCCUGAUCCAGCCAUGCCGCGUGUCUGAAGAAGGCCUUCGGGUUGUAAAGGACUUUUGUCCGGGAGCAAAUACCCAGUGCUAAUAACGCUGGGGGCUGAGAGUACCGGAAGAAUAAGCACCUGCUAACUACGUGCCAGCAGCCGCCGUAAAAC
rnacentral:rRNA from 1 species